rnacentral:rRNA from 1 species
UACUAGAGUAGCACUCGCAUAUCAAUAAGCGGAGGAAAAGAAACUAACAAGGAUUCCCCUAGUAACGGCGAGUGAAGCGGGAAGAGCUCAAAUUUGAAAUCUUAAAGGGUUUCCCUUUACGAAUUGUAGUUUAAAGAAGUGUUUUCUGUUGAGGUUUUGGUAAAAGUUCUUUGGAAUAGGACAUCAUAGAGGGUGAGAAUCCCGUAUUUGACCUUUACUUUCAACUUUGUGAUACACUUUCAAAGAGUCGGAUUGUUUGGGAAUGCAGUCCAAAAUGGGUGGUAAAUUUCAUCUAAAGCUAAAUAUUGGCGAGAGACCGAUAGCGAACAAGUACCGUGAGGGAAAGAUGAAAAGAACUUUGAAAAGAGAGUUAAACAGUACGUGAAAUUGUCAAAAGGGAAGCGUUUGACACCAGUGUUGUUUUUCUGAAAAUCAAUUAAAGAACUGUUUAUGCUAAGCUUGUUUAGACUUUAUCAGCUAUCUGUUUAGUUUUGAGCUUUUCUUUAAUGCACUUUUCAGUUAACAAGUCAACAUCAAUUUCUUUUGCUGUAAAAAAGCUUGAGGAAGGUGGCUUGAGAUUCGUCUUAAGUGUUUAUAGCCUCUUGCCUAUGCAGUCGGAGAGAUUGAGGUCUGCAGCGUAGAUCCUUCGGGGCUAAAUGCAUUUGUGCUAAGUUAUAGCAUUUUAUAGACAACUUGUUGACUAUGAUUUGUCUUGUAGCUUACUCGCUUAUGUUAUUUUACCUACGCUUAGGAUGUUGAGCGCAUGUCUCUCUCU